UAGGGAAUCUUCCGCAAUGGACGAAAGUCUGACGGAGCAACGCCGCGUGAGUGAAGAAGGCUUUCGGUUCGUAAAACUCUGUUGUUAGGGAAGAAAAAAUGUAUAGUAACUAUAUACAAAAGAGACGGUACCUAACCAGAAAGCCACGGCUAACUACGUGCCAGCAGCCGCGGUAAUACGUAGGUGGCAAGCGUUGUCCGGAAUUAUUGGGCGUAAAGCGCGCGCAGGUGGUUUAGAAAGUCUGAUGUGAAAGCCCACGGCUCAACCGUGGAGGGUCAUUGGAAACUAAUAAACUUGAGUGCAGGAGAGAAAAGUGGAAUUCCUAGUGUAGCGGUGAAAUGCGUAGAGAUUAGGAGGAACACCGGUGGCGAAAGCGGCUUUGUGGCCUGCAACUGACACUGAGGCGCGAAAGCGUGGGGAGCAAACAGG
rnacentral:rRNA from 1 species